GCGGAAGCCUGAGACGCAAUAGAUGGAGACUCUCCUUUUCGCCUUGGCGUACUCUUUUUUUUUUUUUCCUCCCUGGAGCUGGUCUUGUGGGGCAGCCCUAAAAUGUAUCUCCAAGUGACCCUGCACUCAUCACUUGCUGCCUUGGACUUAGUUUCCUCAUUCGUAGAAUGGAGACACCACACUUUCUGAAGUGCUUAUGAGACUUGCAGGAGUUCUUGCUGCAUCCUGUGAACUGCUGGAACUUGCUGAUUGCACUUCAUAGACAAUUCCCCAAAGCCUGCAUUUGCAAAGCUGGCCUUUUCCAUUUGGAACACUCCUAGCAGCUACCAGUGCCACCCUCCCCACAGCCUCUCUGGCAAAGUAUGCUGGGGAACUUGGGGAUUUUUGCUAAGCUGAUUAGUUAGAUAUUGUGCAUCUCAGUGUAGUUUCAAUUACUAUUUUUCAUAUUAUGAGUGAGUUUGUGCAUUUUUUCAUAUGUUUAAGGGUUAUUCACACUGGUUUUUCUAUGAGCGGUCUAUAUCCUUUGCCCGCUUCUUUUUCUAAGUUUCUUGUUUUUUUAUCCAUUUUGGGGAGCUCUUUUAUAUUAGGAAAUCCAUCCUUUGUCUUGAAUAUAACUGAACAUAUUUUUCCUUGGUGUUUAUAUUGAAAUCACUAUAUCUUUUGACAAUUGAUACUUGCCUUUUCUUUGUCCUGUGAAUUUGUCAUAUGCUGAGAGAUGAAUUAAAGUCUCUUUCUACCGCUGGGUUGUGUCUGUUUCUCCUUGUGUCUCCUAGAAUCUCUUGGUGAAUACUGCUGGUGGGGUAUUCAGUGCAUUAAAAACCACCCUUCAUGUCACAUUUAAUGGUUUGGGGCCCGGAUUUUACUCAGUCUGAUCUUUAUAUGG
rnacentral:lncRNA from 10 species